GAAAAUUCGUGCAUCCGCAAUCCGAUUUCAAUAAGUGUGUAUGUGGAUAUAUAGACAGGUGGCUGCUUAUAUACAUCAGGGAUACGUGUCCAUGCGCGCAUAAUUUGCAGUUUAAUGAAAAGCGUGACAUUUUAUUGUAUUUAUUCAGCGAUUAUUUUAUAUGGGCGUUUAUAAGUAAUAAGCUGACAGCAGAAAACAUAGUCUACAUCAGAGUUGGACCCCGAUAUCAAACCUCAAUGGAGGAUUGCCUUCAUCAUCAUCAUGGUUAAACGGUCGCAAGCGCCGUAGCUUUAUUAUUAUAAUACCUAUAUAAUAUCUUAGAUUUAUUGAUGGGAAGUAGGUAGAGGAUAAUGCCGUUGCGAUAAAUAAGAUAACAUUGUGAAUAUUAUGUAUUACACCAACUUUAGCUAUAUCUAUAUUAAGAAAAGGCUUAUCAUAUAACCUUCAUAUCAAUUACAGCUAUUAAGAAAAGUUUCGUAUGGGGCUAAAUCAAUAUUUUUCUUGAAUCAAAGUUUAUGUGCCGAUAAUACCUGUGAUAAGGCAAGCUUCUUAAAUCAAAUUGAUACACUUGGGGGCAGCACCUUCAUAAUACGUGUAAGCAUACGAUUUAAAACAGAUGUGUUAUUAAUUCCUGCAAUCAAAGUGCUAGGAUAUAAAUUUUUAUUACUCUAGUUAGAAUAGUGCUGUUAUAUAAACUCUCACAAAUUUUGUUAAUUUUUCUUGGAUUUAAGUUUAUAUGGUGAUAAUACCCGUGCUAAGGCAGGCUUCUUAAUCCCGAACAGGAUAGAGAUGGACGUUGGGUGGGAGGAGGUGCCUCAAGACUUGUUUACGGGAGAAAGGAAGCUAACUUUAUGUACUGUUAAUAUCUAUGAUACGACACGCUUCUUAAAUCAAAUUGAUACACUUUG